UACGGAGGGUGCAAGCGUUAUCCGGAUUUACUGGGUUUAAAGGGAGCGUAGGAGGGCAGGUAAGUCAGUGCUGAAAUAUCCCGGCUUAACCGGGAGGGUGGCAUUGAUACUGAAGGACUUGAGUUCAGUCGAGGUAGGCGGAAUUGACGGUGUAGCGGUGAAAUGCUUAGAUAUCGUCAAGAACACCGAUAGUGUAGACAGCUUACUAGGCUGAAACUGACGCUGAGGCACGAAAGUGUGGGGAUCAAACAGG
rnacentral:rRNA from 1 species